rnacentral:tRNA from 1 species
GCCCGGUUAGCUCAGUUGGUUAGAGCGUGGUGCUAAUAAUGCCAAGGUCACUGGUUCAAUCCCUGCUCACUGCA